AUACAAAUCAUAAAUACAGACAUACUUUAAGUUGUAAAAAUGGCCUUGAUCAAAGAAGAAAUCAAAACAAAUUGCAGACCAUUCCACUCACACAAGUUAAGGACUUGGUGCAAUGCCUGCUGAAAGUGAGAUUGUUGGUGAGAUGCCCAGUGACUUCACCAAGCUUUGCUUCAGCGCGCUGCAGCCUAGGUUCAGAGGGUGAUGCGAGACCUAAAUCCCCUUGUUUAUUUAGUGGUGACAUGAACCACUUAGGGCAUCACUCAGGCCCUGACUGGCAUCUUUAGUCAUAUUUUCUAGCCCAGCAUCAAUGAGCCCUCUGAAAGGGAAGAUUUACAACUCCAAAUUGUCGGUUAGUUUCUACUGUUUUGUUUCAAUACAUUUUCCAUUCCAUGUAUUUUAUGAGAAGCAAGUUGAAGGACAAAUCCUCAUCCUGCUAUCGUAAAGGCCCCAUUGUGGUCAGGGCAACUACGCACGGGCACGGAAACCUUUUGCUUACAGCGGUAAAGGCAGGAUCAGUGCCUUGUUACAGACUUAAUUUCUAGCAGAGCAAACACUACAGGGUAGGAUUUGAUUUCUUAAAUUAAACCAAAUGUACCUACACAAAUAAGAUCUGCACAAGAACUCAACAGCUGCGGGGAACCAGGGCCUUCCCCAGCUCAUCAUAAAGCUCAAUGAAAUGCUGCAUGAAGUGGGGUUAGAGUGUAUUCCCCAAUGGGUAUGAAAUAAUACUCCCCUGAAACAGUGACCUUCCUGAGAAGUCUCACUUCUAUCCAGUCCUGGACAGCUUCAAGCAGGCCUGUCUGCUGGGAAAAAACCAGCUCUGAUUGACUUAUCUGCUUUCUCAAAAGAGCCACUACAUGCUUGAGGCUUUUGGGAGCCUUAAAGCUGAAGCUAGAUUUAUAUUCAGAAUUAAAAACAACCUUAAAUAUGUGUACAAUAACUAGGAGAGAGUAGUAUGAGAAAUAUCUUUAUUUUACCAUUUUCAAAUGGCUAUUUCACUACAUAAAAGGAAGUUUUUAUUUUUAUUUUUUUGGGGUAUGUUGAUAUUCCGAAAUAAAAUUUUAACUUUUGGUUCAAAAUAAAA
rnacentral:lncRNA from 1 species